ACUCAAAUGAAUUGACGGGGACCCGCACAAGCAGCGGAGCGUGUGGUUUAAUUCGAUGCGACGCGAAGAACCUUACCUGGAUUCAAUCGAGAGGGCACCGCCGGUAAUGCGGCGUGCCCGCAAGGGACCCUCUUGACGGUGCUGCAUGGCUGUCGUCAGCUCGUGCCGUGAGGUGUUGGGUUAAGUCCCCUAACGAGCGCAACCCCUGAGACUGGUUGCAUAUCCAGUCUGACUGCCUCGCACAACGGGGAGGAAGGCGGGGAUGACGUCAAGUCAGCACGGCCCUUACGACCAGGGCGACACACACGCUACAAUGGUCGGGACAAUCCGCAGCCAGGGGGCGACCCCAAGCGAAUCGGUAAACCCGGCCUCAGUGCAGAUUGCAGGCUGCAACUCGCCUGCAUGAAGGAGGAGUUGCUAGUAACCGCCGGUCAGCAUACGGCGGUGAAUACGUUCCCGGGUCUUGUACACACCGCCCGU
rnacentral:rRNA from 1 species